GCAGCCCAACUUCACAGCAGCCCAAGGGUAGUUAGUAUAUUUAAUUGUUGUAUAACUUUGUACAUAAGACAGGGACACAAAUGUAAUUACACACACACAUUAGAUUUUUAUUACAUUUUGUAUAUACUGAGUAGGUGCAGAAGGUUCGGGACAUUCAGUCAUUUCAAUACAAUUUUCAGUUUUCAUUUUCUCUCUUCUCUCUCUUCUC
rnacentral:lncRNA from 1 species